UACAGAGGUCUCAAGCGUUGUUCGGAUUCAUUGGGCGUAAAGGGUGUGUAGGUGGCGCCGUAAGUCGGGUGUGAAAUUUCGGAGCUUAACUCCGAAACUGCAUUCGAUACUGCGGUGCUUGAGGACUGGAGAGGAGACUGGAAUUCAUGGUGUAGCGGUGGAAUGCGUAGAGAUCCGGAAGAACACCAGUGGCGAAGGCGGUUAGCUGGGCAGUUGCUGACACUGAUGCGCGACAGCGUGGGGAGCGAACAGG
rnacentral:rRNA from 1 species